rnacentral:tRNA from 1 species
CGGGGCGUGGCUCAGCUUGGCUAGAGCGCUGCGUUCGGGACGCAGAGGUCGGAGGUUCAAAUCCUCUCGCCCCGACCA